CACGUAGGGCGCAAGCGUUGUCCGGAAUUAUUGGGCGUAAAGAGCUCGUAGGCGGUCUGUUGCGUCCGCUGUGAAAACCCGGGGCUUAACCCUGGGCUGGCAGUGGAUACGGACAGACUAGAGGUAGGUAGGGGAGAAUGGAAUUCCCGGUGUAGCGGUGAAAUGCGUAGAUAUCAAGAGGAACACCUGAGGUGAAGACGGGUUGCUGGGCCGACACUGACGCUGAGUGCGCGAAAGCCAGGGGAGCAAACGGG
rnacentral:rRNA from 1 species